rnacentral:rRNA from 1 species
UACGGAGGGAGCGAGCGUUAAUCGGAAUUACUGGGCGUAAAGCGCACGUAGGCGGCUUUGUAAGUCGGAUGUGAAAGCCCUGGGCUUAACCUGGGAAUGGCAUUCGAUACUGCAUGGCUAGAGUAUGGUAGAGGGAAGUGGAAUUUCCGGUGUAGCGGUGAAAUGCGUAGAUAUCGGAAGGAACACCAGUGGCGAAGGCGACUUCCUGGGCCAAUACUGACGCUGAGGUGCGAAAGCGUGGGGAGCAAACAGG